rnacentral:rRNA from 1 species
AUGCUUGCUUGCUCAAUAACCAGGGCCCUCAUUCUCCUCACCAUGCAAAUAAAAUCACCUGUACACUUCAGCGUAUCAGAAUAUCGGGUCGACGACAGGUCUGGCCGACUACUCCACCAUCCUUCGUACUCUAGAAAAACGACACGGCGUUUGAAAAUAAGCUCUAUGGCACUUGACCGAACACCUGCAGGGCGUGGUAUCCGCCAUGGACGUUGUCGACAAGGAGGCGGAGUGUACCUGGUUGCAGACGUCCGGCAAUACACGUGCGGCAGCCGGAGAUGUACAACGACGGUAUCAGAGGAGGAGGGUGUGGAUGCAAACUAA